rnacentral:rRNA from 1 species
AACGAACGCUGGCGGCAGGCUUAACACAUGCAAGUCGAGCGCGUAGCAAUACGAGCGGCAGACGGGUGAGUAACGCGUGGGAAUCUACCCAUCUCUACGGAAUAACUCAGGGAAACUUGUGCUAAUACCGUAUACGCCCUUCGGGGGAAAGAUUUAUCGGAGAUGGAUGAGCCCGCGUUGGAUUAGCUAGUUGGUGGGGUAAAGGCCUACCAAGGCGACGAUCCAUAGCUGGUCUGAGAGGAUGAUCAGCCACACUGGGACUGAGACACGGCCCAGACUCCUACGGGAGGCAGCAGUGGGGAAUAUUGGACAAUGGGCGCAAGCCUGAUCCAGCCAUGCCGCGUGAGUGAUGAAGGCCCUAGGGUUGUAAAGCUCUUUCACCGAUGAAGAUAAUGACGGUAGUCGGAGAAGAAGCCCCGGCUAACUUCGUGCCAGCCGCCGCCGUAAGAC